AUGAACGCUGGCGGCGUGCCUAAUACAUGCCAGUCGAGCGAACGGACGAGAAGCUUGCUUCUCUGAUGUUAGCGGCGGCCGGGUGAGUAACACGUGGAUAACCUACCUAUAAGACUGGGAUAACUUCGGGAAACCGGAGCUAAUACCGGAUGAUAUUUUGAACCGCAUGGUUCAAAAGUGAAAGACGGUCUUGCUGGCACGUAUAGAUGGAUCCGCGCUGCAUUAGCUAGUUGGUAAGGUAACGGCUUACCAAGGCAACGAUGCAUAGCCGACCUGAGAGGGUGAUCGGCCACACUGGAACUGAGACACGGUCCAGACUCCUACGGGAGGCAGCAGUAGGGAAUCUUCCGCAAUGGGCGAAAGCCUGACGGAGCAACGCCGCGUGAGUGAUGAAGGUCUUCGGAUCGUAAAACUCUGUUAUUAGGGAAGAACAUAUGUGUAAGUAACUGUGCACAUCUUGACGGUACCUAAUCAGAAAGCCACGGCUAACUACGUG
rnacentral:rRNA from 1 species